AACCGUCGUCUGUUUCAUUCCCGCGUGGGUUUCAUGGGUGUUGGGUGGCGGUGGUGAGGGUCUUGUCUGAAUUUCAAUUGCUUCAUAGCUAAGAGGCACUCUGAUUUGUCCUUGGUCAAAUCAUCGGAUCACAUGGCUUGACUGCUGUCCAUUUUGCCAUAAUGUCCUCCAUUUCUAUGUGUACCAGCUGUAUGUCUCAUCUGAUACUGAAACACUUUACAGAAGAAGUUUCACAGCCAGGUGAAGUCUGAGCUUCUGCAGUGCUGUCUAACGUGCUCAUGGAUUUGUUGCAGCCAGCUGGCAUAAGGUGUUCCUCUUGCUGGCUUUCUACCCGUACCAGCUUUUCCCACUUACAGAAACAAUAGAGAACAAUUCUGAAUAGUAAAGCUGAUAAAAUUUUUACGUUAGGAUUAACAGUCCUUUGAAUUCUUGGCUUAAGCUAAUAAGCUAUUUCAUCACUGCAUUCUAAUGUGGAUUUGUUAAGCCAGCUAGUUAAUUUUUCAUCAUACAAUGUUCUUAAAGGCACCUUUUUAAAAAUGUAACUUCAGCCAUCUAAACCAGCAUUUGUAUCCAAUUGUUUAGGCUGCACGGAAUUCUCAUUUCCCUUUGAUGUGAACUUCAAUAACAUGCACUAAUUGAAGGUUUACGUUCCCAGAGUUGCUGCCUAAUCUGGCGUGUUGUUCCAGCCUAUGCCGAUGAAAGAUAUUUUUUCUUCAAGUUGAAAUGAGGCUGUUCCUUGGUGCUGGCGUCGUGUAGCGGAAGUUGCAUCCUGUAUUUUGUUCAAUGGUACAAGUGUCUUUAUCGUUUAUAUGUUGAGAAGUUAUAGAAUAUGGGGAGUUCUUACGUAAAAUAAAUAAUAAAUAUUUUCGGGAUUGGAAAACACCGAGGAGGAAGAUGGUGGGGGGUGGGAUGGGUUGAUUUGACUUAAAUUGAAAUGCUAAUUAAUAGUGACGUGAAAGUCAGUGUUGACACUCUUAUUAACCCAUAACCCAACAUAAAUUCAAAUAUCUAUAGAUCUAGAUUAUCUCUAUACCCGCUAUUACCCAUCCCUCUCACUCCCCUAAUGCUCAUACUUCUAAUAUCCAAACUCCUAAUACCCAUCCUUUUUAAUCUCAUACCUAAUUAAUGUAUACAUUUAACAUAAAAUAAACAAA
rnacentral:lncRNA from 1 species